UAUUAAAAAAUUCAUUUAUUUCUACGAUUAAAAAUUGUGUAGUUGUUAAAAUAACCAGAUAAUUACACAUGAUAUGUCACAUGUACCUCAUUUUUACGUACAUGAAUCAGUUUUUAAUAAUAAAAAUAGAAGAAAUUUGCAUUA
rfam:Gossypium raimondii Chr05_contig_438, whole genome shotgun sequence.